rnacentral:rRNA from 1 species
UACGGUAGGGUGCAAGCGUUGUCCGGAAUUAUUGGGCGUAAAGAGCUCGUAGGCGGUGUGUCGCGUCGGCCGUGAAAACCUGCAGCUUAACUGUGGGCGUGCGGUCGAUACGGGCAGACUAGAGUUCGGUAGGGGAGACUGGAAUUCCUGGUGUAGCGGUGAAAUGCGCAGAUAUCAGGAGGAACACCGGUGGCGAAGGCGGGUCUCUGGGCAGUGAACUGACGUGGAGGAGCGAAAGCGUGGGGAGCGAACAGGA